UACGGAGGGGGUUAGCGUUGUUCGGAAUUAUUGGGCGUAAAGCGCACGUAGGCGGCCCGUUAAGUCUCAUGGUGAAAGGCCGGGGCUCAACCCCGAGCAUGCCGGGGAUACUGGGGGGCUGGAGACAGGUAGAGGCCAGCGGAAUUCCGGGUGUAGCGGUGGAAUGCGUAGAGAUCCGGAAGAACACCGGAGGCGAAGGCGGCUGGCUGGACCUGAUCUGACGCUGAGGUGCGAAAGCGUGGGGAGCGAACAGG
rnacentral:rRNA from 1 species